ensembl:snRNA U2 U2 spliceosomal RNA
AUCACUUCUCAGUCUUUUGGCUAAGAUCAAGUGUAGUAUGAUUUCUUAUCAGUAUAAUAUCUUUUUUUUGAGUCUUGCUCUGUUGCCCAGGCUGGAGUGCAGCAGCGUGAUCUCAGCUCACUGCAACCUCCACCUCCUAGGUUCAAGCAAUUCUUGUGCCUCAGCCUUCCAAGUAACUGAGAUUACAGGUGCCUGC